CCUGCGCGGAAGAUGUAACGGGGCUAAACCAUGCACCGAAGCUGCGGCAGCGACGCUGAUGCGUUGUUGGGUAGGGGAGCGUUCUGUAAGCCUGCGAAGGUGUGCUGUGAGGCAUGCUGGAGGUAUCAGAAGUGCGAAUGCUGACAUAAGUAACGAUAAAGCGGGUGAAAAGCCCGCUCGCCGGAAGACCAAGGGUUCCUGUCCAACGUUAAUCGGGGCAGGGUGAGUCGACCCCUAAGGCGAGGCCGAAAGGCGUAGUCGAUGGGAAACAGGUUAAUAUUCCUGUACUUGGUGUUACUGCGAAGGGGGGACGGAGAAGGCUAUGUUGGCCGGGCGACGGUUGUCCCGGUUUAAGCGUGUAGGCUGGUUUUCCAGGCAAAUCCGGAAAAUCAAGGCUGAGGCGUGAUGACGAGGCACUACGGUGCUGAAGCAACAAAUGCCCUGCUUCCAGGAAAAGCCUCUAAGCAUCAGGUAACAUCAAAUCGUACCCCAAACCGACACAGGUGGUCAGGUAGAGAAUACCAAGGCGCUUGAGAGAACUCGGGUGAAGGAACUAGGCAAAAUGGUGCCGUAACUUCGGGAGAA
rnacentral:rRNA from 1 species